AACGAACGCUGGCGGCGUGCCUAACACAUGCAAGUCGUGCGAGAAAGUUCCUUCGGGAGCGAGUAAAGCGGCGCACGGGUGAGUAACACGUAGGUAACCUGCCCCCCAGUCUGGAACAACUAGAGGAAACUCUAGCUAAUGCCGGAUGAGACCACGAUCCCUUCGGGGGUUGCGGCCAAAGAUGGCCUCUACUUGUAAGCUAUCGCUGAGGGAUGGGCCUGCGGGCCAUUAGCUUGUUGGUGAGGUAACGGCUCACCAAGGCUGUGAUGGCUAGCUGGUCUGAGAGGAUGACCAGCCACACUGGGACUGAGACACGGCCCAGACUCCUACGGGAGGCAGCAGUGGGGAAUAUUGCGCAAUGGGCGAAGCCUGACGCAGCGACGCCGCGUGGGUGAUG
rnacentral:rRNA from 1 species